CUAAGGUUCGAUUCGAGCGAAAGCGAGAGAACGUUGCCAACGGCAACGGCCCGAAGGGCGAAGCGCGCAGCGCUGAGUCAUCCUUCCCCCACCACCA
rnacentral:sRNA from 1 species